AUAUUUAAUUAUUUAUACACUCCAUUUGAUCAAAUCCUAAGGUCAUACAAAAUAUUACAAAGUUGGUUGAAAUAAGCAACAAUAUAAAUCACAAUAACUUGAACCCUUGUUUUUGAUGCUCUUAGUUAAAAGCCUUAUUUGAUCACACAAUUUAGCAAUUCUAUAGAAUUUUAUAGAAUUACAAUAACUUGAAACAGCAGAAGAAACCAAUGAUGUGCACAUCAGGUGGUCUCACAUAUUCCGCACAACAAUCGAAAUGGAUAAAUCUCUUACAAAUCAAAAAUCUCAAAUUAAAAGUAUGUUUGAAUCACUCUCUCGCUCUCUCUCUCUCUCUCUUUCUUUUUAGAGGAAUGAUCUUUAAAAGUGGCCAAAAGUUUUGGAUUAUUUGGACAAGGUGAAUUGGUGAAGAACAUUGCCGGAAAUAUCAUAGUAGAUGAACUUAGCUUGAUAGUGAGUAAUGUGAAGAGACAUGAAACCUUGUCCGUCGUAAUAAAGUUUUAGUUCUUUUGGAUCCCACGGCAGAAUAACUCCUCUCCAUGCCUUUGAUCCUCCUCCACUUGUCAGAAAUUGAAUCCCACUUCACCAAUUCCAAACAAUGAAUUAUUUAGGUUUUGUCUGAAGUAGUAAACAUUUAAACUUAACUAAGACUUUGACUAAUCUAGAUUCAAAUAAAAUUUGUUUAAAACAAACUGACUUCGUGUUUUAUUUUUCAUUCAAGAAUGUAAACCAAUACGAUCCCUAUUGAUGAAAAGAAGAAGUAAAUAGAACUUUACCCGUCNNNNNNNNNNNNNNNNNNNNNNNNNNNNNNNNNNNNNNNNNNNNNNNNNNNNNNNNNNNNNNNNNNNNNUUUUUUGAAUAAAUUUAACAUUUAUUCAAAAAAAAAAAAAAAAAGUUCAUCUUCUUCCUCGUGUUCUCUCUCUAUCUCAAAACCCUAGCUGUUCCCUAUUCAAUUAAGCUAGGUUACUCUCAAUUCGAGUUUGAUUCACUGUGAAUUAGAAAACCAACGAUGAUGCAUUGUCCUGUCUCUUCGUCACUUAUCUUCCAACCGAGCAGUAUCCGAGCAACAUCGAAAGUCUACGCAAAGAAGAAACUCACUAAGAAUCUCCGUAACCCACGCCGCACCAAACUCCCUCCUGAGUUCGGUGUCAACUUGUUCCUAAGGAAACCCAUCACAGAACCGUUGUUACCACUACAAGAACAAGAAGAAGAAGAUCAAGAGCUUGAUGGUAGUCCUGAUGUCUGGGAACCAAACGAAAUCGAAGCGAUCUCAUCUCUUUUCCAGCAAAGAAUCCCUCAGAAACCAGAGAGAGUGGUUCGAGUCAGGCCUCUACCACUUCCUCAGCCUCACAAGCUACGACCUUUAGGCCUCCCAACUCCAAAGCCCAACAACAUCAAGAAACCACUCGUGUCAUCAUCAUCAAAAGACCCGAGCUUUCUCAUCAGUUUAGCUAGAGAGAUCAAACACUUACCUUCCCCUGAAGCAGACGUCUCUCUCGUCCUCAACAAAUGGUCCACCUUCCUCCGCAAAGGCUCCCUCUCCACCACCAUCCGCGAGCUCGGCCACAUGGGUUUGCCCGAGAGAGCCUUGCAGACCUACCGCUGGGCGGAGAAGCAUCCUCAUCUCUUUCCUGAUAACCGCAUCCUCGCGUCCACCAUCCAGGUCCUAGCCAAGCACCGCGAGCUGAAGCUCCUCAAGUUCGACAACACCUUGGCUAGCAAGAGCGUUAUCGAAGCCAUGAUCAAAGGCUGCAUCGAAGGCGGUUGGCUGAACCUAGCGAGGAAGCUUUUACUGAUAGCUAAAAGUAACAACCGUGUCCUCGACUCGAGUAUCUACGUUAAGAUGAUUCUAGAGAUCGCUAAAAACCCUGACAAGUACCAUCUCGUUGUUUCCCUCCUCGACGAGUUGAAAGAUAGAGAAGACUUGAAGCUGAGCCAGCAAGACUGCACGAGCGUGAUGAAGAUCUGCGUGAAACUUAAAAGGUUCGAGCUCGUUGAGUGUCUCUUUGAAUGGUACAAAGAAUCAAACAGAGAGCCGAGCGUUGUGAUGUACACUACCAUGAUACACAGCAGGUUUUCGGAAGAGAAGUAUAGAGAGGCGAUGAGUAUGGUUUGGGAGAUGGAGGAAUCGAACUGUCUUCUUGAUCUUCCUGCUUAUAGAGUGGUCAUUAGAUUAUUUGUGGCGUUGGAUGAUUUGGGAAGAGCAAUGAGAUACUACUCUAAGCUCAAGGAAGCUGGUUUUACUCCAACGUAUGAUGUUUUUCGCGAUAUGAUCAGCGUUUGUAUAGCUUCUGGGAGAUUGACAAAGUGUAGAGAGAUAUGUAAGGAGGUUGAAGAUGCUGGAUUGAGGUUGGAUGAAGAGACUUCGUUUAGGUUGUUUCAGCUCGAAAACCAAACAAUGUCUCUAUAAAGUAUUAAGACUUGUAAUAGAGUUUUGUGUUCUCUUUGAUUAGAGAUAUAACAUUUUUGUGAAUACAAGAAAUUCUAUGAUAAAACAUUUUGUGGUUUUACUGUUUGAUAGUGUUUUCAGGAAAAGACGAAAGUGGAAACUGGACAAGUUCAGAAUCAGACAUAGCUACUCUCUUGUCUGCUGGAACUGAUUCUGGUCCAUCCAUGGAUGGUUUAAUAACUGUAAAGAACAAAAUAUUAUAGAACAGAGUAAAAGCUAAGAGAAGAAAAGCUGUAGUUGUGAGGAACGAUCCGGACAUCUCAGGUGGUUCUUCAAACAUGAACGGAUCCAUAGAUGAAGAACCUCCACUACUUGUUCUGACAACGUCCGAUGAUGUCUUGACGAAGGUUCUUGGUUUUUCAUCGGCUUGAGAUUCGAUUUGUUGGUCAAGCUGUUUCAGAGCUUCUCUAGCUUUAUCUCUAUCGAUUUCGAAUCUUUGUGAAGAAGAAGAAGAAGAAGGUGAGUCGUCUCUUUCAGUGGCUCUUACAAUACCCAUCAGAUGUUUUUUCUUCUUCUCCAUGAAUCCGCCAUGUACGUACCAAUUAAGAGACUGUAUCCCUAACACCACCAUUCUCUGUUUCUUUUCUUCUACGGCUCUCUGUGAUGAUGAUAAAUGUUGUGUGUGUGUGGACAUCGUUGUUGGCAAAAUUGUCAGAUACCACAGGCUUCUUAGUGGAUUUUUAUUGUCGUUUCAAAAUAAGAAUUUACAGGCCCAUUCGAAAGUAUUUUAAGGCUUCAAAUAAAAAGGUAUGAUAUUUAAUUAUUUAUACACUCCAUUUGAUCAAAUCCUAAGGUCAUACAAAAUAUUACAAAGUUGGUUGAAAUAAGCAACAAUAUAAAUCACAAUAACUUGAACCCUUGUUUUUGAUGCUCUUAGUUAAAAGCCUUAUUUGAUCACACAAUUUAGCAAUUCUAUAGAAUUUUAUAGAAUUACAAUAACUUGAAACAGCAGAAGAAACCAAUGAUGUGCACAUCAGGUGGUCUCACAUAUUCCGCACAACAAUCGAAAUGGAUAAAUCUCUUACAAAUCAAAAAUCUCAAAUUAAAAGUAUGUUUGAAUCACUCUCUCGCUCUCUCUCUCUCUCUCUUUCUUUUUAGAGGAAUGAUCUUUAAAAGUGGCCAAAAGUUUUGGAUUAUUUGGACAAGGUGAAUUGGUGAAGAACAUUGCCGGAAAUAUCAUAGUAGAUGAACUUAGCUUGAUAGUGAGUAAUGUGAAGAGACAUGAAACCUUGUCCGUCGUAAUAAAGUUUUAGUUCUUUUGGAUCCCACGGCAGAAUAACUCCUCUCCAUGCCUUUGAUCCUCCUCCACUUGUCAGAAAUUGAAUCCCACUUCACCAAUUCCAAACAAUGAAUUAUUUAGGUUUUGUCUGAAGUAGUAAACAUUUAAACUUAACUAAGACUUUGACUAAUCUAGAUUCAAAUAAAAUUUGUUUAAAACAAAAUGAUUUCGUGUUUUAUUUUUCAUUCAAGAAUGUAAACCAA
rnacentral:lncRNA from 1 species